UACGUAGGGCGCAAGCGUUAUCCGGAAUUAUUGGGCGUAAAGAGCUCGUAGGCGGUUUGUCGCGUCUGCCGUGAAAGUCCGGGGCUCAACUCCGGAUCUGCGGUGGGUACGGGCAGACUAGAGUGAUGUAGGGGAGACUGGAAUUCCUGGUGUAGCGGUGAAAUGCGCAGAUAUCAGGAGGAACACCGAUGGCGAAGGCAGGUCUCUGGGCCUGACCUGACGCUGAGGAGCGAAAGCGUGGGAGCGAACAGG
rnacentral:rRNA from 1 species